rnacentral:rRNA from 1 species
CACUAGUGAUUGGUGUUCUUCCCGAUAUCUACACAUUCCACCGUUACACCGGGAAUUCCAGUCUCCCCUACCGCACUCAAGCCCGCCCGUACCCGGCGCGGAUCCACCGUUAAGCGAUGGACUUUCACACCGGACGCGACGAACCGCCUACGAGCCCUUUACGCCCAAUAAUUCCGGAUAACGCUUGCACCCUACGUAUUACCGCGGCUGCUGGCACGUAGUUAGCCGGUGCUUAUUCGAAAGGUACACUCACCCGAAGGCUUGCUCCCGAUCAAAAGCGGUUUACAACCCGAAGGCCGUCAUCCCGCACGCGGCGUCGCUGCAUCAGGCUUGCGCCCAUUGUGCAAUAUUCCCCACUGCUGCCUCCCGUAGGAGUCUGGGCCGUAUCUCAGUCCCAAUGUGGCCGGUCGCCCUCUCAGGCCGGCUACCCGUCGUAGGCUCGGUGGGCCGUUACCCCGCCGACUACCUGAUAGGACGCGACC